rnacentral:tRNA from 1 species
GCGCCCGUAGCUCAGCUGGAUAGAGCACCAGACUACGAAUCUGGGGGUCAGAGGUUCAGAAUCCUUUCGGGCGCACCA